rnacentral:rRNA from 1 species
GACGAACGCUGGCGGCGUGCUUAACACAUGCAAGUCGAACGGAAAGGCCCUGCUUUUGUGGGGUGCUCGAGUGGCGAACGGGUGAGUAACACGUGAGUAACCUGCCCUUGACUUUGGGAUAACUUCAGGAAACUGGGGCUAAUACCGGAUAGGAGCUCCUGCUGCAUGGUGGGGGUUGGAAAGUUUCGGCGGUUGGGGAUAGACUCGCGGCUUAUCAGCUUGUUGGUGGGGUAGUGGCUUACCAAGGCUUUGUCGGGUAGCCGGCCUGAGAGGGUGACCGGCCACAUUGGGACUGAGAUACGGCCCAGACUCCUACGGGAGGCAGCAGUGGGGAAUAUUGCACAAUGGGCGGAAGCCUGAUGCAGCAACGCCGCGUGCGGGAUGACGGCCUUCGGGUUGUAAACCGCUUUCGCCUGUGACGAAGCGUGAGUGACGGUAAUGGGUAAAGAAGCACCGGCUAACUACGUG